GCCGCGUGCAGGAAGACGGUCCUAUGGAUUGUAAACUGCUUUUGUACGGGAAGAACAAGGGGCACGUGUGCCCUUCUGACGGUACCGUAAGAAUAAGGAUCGGCUAACUCCGUGCCAGCAGCCGCGGUAAUACGGAGGAUCCGAGCGUUAUCCGGAAUCAUUGGGUUUAAAGGGUCCGUAGGCGGGCCAUUAAGUCAGGGGUGAAAGUCUGCGGCUCAACCGUAGAAUUGCCCUUGAUACUGGUGGUCUUGAGUUAUGGUGAAGUAACUAGAAUAUGUAGUGUAGCGGUGAAAUGCAUAGAUAUUACAUAGAAUACCGAUUGCGAAGGCAGGUUACUAACCAUAUACUGACGCUGAUGGACGAAAGCGUGGGGAGCGAACAGGAUUAGAUACCCUGGUAGUCCACGCCGUAAACGAUGGAUACUAGCUGUCCGGGUGCAAAUCUGGGCGGCCAAGCGAAAGUGAUAAGUAUCCCACCUGGGGAGUACGUCCGCAAGGAUGAAACUCAAAGGAAUUGACGGGGGCCCGCACAAGCGGUGGAGCAUGUGGUUUAAUUCGAUGAUACGCGAGGAACCUUACCAGGGCUUAAAUGUGGUCUGACAGCUUUAGAGAUAGAGCCUCCUUCGGGCAGAUCACAAGGUGCUGCAUGGUUGUCGUCAGCUCGUGCCGUGAGGUGUCAGGUUAAGUCCUAUAACGAGCGCAACCCCUGCCGUUAGUUGCCAGCAUGUAAAGAUGGGGACUCUAACGGGACUGCCGGUGCAAACCGCGAGGAAGGUGGGG
rnacentral:rRNA from 1 species